rnacentral:RNase_P_RNA from 1 species
UCAGACGGCCGGAUGGUUGCGCUUUGGUUCCAUUGUGGGCCAAGGUGAGGAAAGUCCGGGCUCCACGGGAAGAGGAUGCCGGGUAACGCCCGGCGGGGGCGACCCUAGGGAAAGUGCCGCAGAAAGUAAACCGCCAGAGAGGCGACUCUCUUGGUAAGGGUGAAAGGGUGCGGUAAGAGCGCACCGCGCCUCUGGUAACAGAGGUGGCAGGGUAAACCCCAUUCGGAGCAAGACCAAGCAGAGAUCUCCUUAAGCUUCGGCUUAAUCGUGCCUUCUCGCACGAGGAUCUCGGGUAGGUUGCACGAGGCGAUGGGUAACUAUCGUCCUAGAUGAAUGGCCAUCCUUCCAUUCUAUGGAAGACAGAACCCGGCUUAUAGGCCGUCUGAUACU